rnacentral:rRNA from 1 species
UACGGGGGGGGCAAGCGUUGUUCGGAAUUACUGGGCGUAAAGGGCUCGUAGGCGGCCAACUAAGUCGGGCGUGAAAGCCCCGGGCUCAACCUGGGAAUUGCGUUCGAUACUGGAUAGCUAGAGUUCGGCAGAGGGAAGCGGAAUUUCGGGUGUAGCGGUGAAAUGCGUAGAUAUCCGAAGGAACAUCAGUGGCGAAAAGCGGCUUCCUGGACCAGAACUGACGAUCAGGCACGAAAGCGUGGGGAGCAAACAGG